rnacentral:rRNA from 1 species
AACGAACGCUGGCGGCGUGGAUAAGACAUGCAAGUCGAACGGGAUUUUGUUCUGUAGCAAUACAGGAAAAAGUCUAGUGGCGAACGGGUGCGUAACACGUGAGCAACCUGCCGUGAAGUGGGGGAUAGCGCGCCGAAAGGCGAAUUAAUACCGCAUGUGGCCCAGGAAGACAUCUUCCUAACGCCAAAGCCGGGGCAAUCUGGCGCUUCGCGAGCGGCUCGCGGCCUAUCAGCUUGUGGGUGAGGUAACGGCUCACCAAGGCUAUGACGGGUAGCUGGUCUGAGAGGACGACCAGCCACACUGGAACUGAGACACGGUCCAGACACCUACGGGUGGCAGCAGUCGAGAAUUUUUCACAAUGGGGGAAACCCUGAUGGAGCGACGCCGCGUGGAGGAUGAAGGUUUUCGGAUUGUAAACUCCUGUCAUUAGAGAACAAGGCACACGGUUUAACUGGCCGUGUGUUGAUAGUAUCUGAAGAGGAAGAGACGGCUAACUCUGUGCCAGCAGCCGCGGUAA